CUACGGGUUGCAGCAGUGGGGAAUAUUGGACAAUGGGGGAAACCCUGAUCCAGCAAUGCCGCGUGUGUGAAGAAGGCCUGCGGGUUGUAAAGCACUUUCGGUUGGGAGGACUGCUUCUAGCACUAAUAUUGUUGGAAGUUGACGUUACCUUCAGAAGAAGCACCGGCUAACUCCGUGCCAGCAGCCGCGGUAAUACGGAGGGCGCAAGCGUUAAUCGGAAUUACUGGGCGUAAAGCGCGCGUAGGCGGCUAGAUAAGUCGGGUGUGAAAGCCCCGGGCUUAACCUGGGAACUGCAUCCGAUACUGUCUAGCUUGAGUACAGGAGAGGAGAGUGGAAUUCCACAUGUAGCGGUGAAAUGCGUAGAUAUGUGGAGGAACACCAAUGGCGAAGGCAGCUCUCUGGCCUGAUACUGACGCUGAGGUGCGAAAGCGUGGGGAGCAAACAGGAUUAGAUACCCGCGUAGUC
rnacentral:rRNA from 1 species